rnacentral:ncRNA from 2 species
UGGUUAUCAAGAAAGGUAGAGGGAUUAGACCCGUUGAAGCCUUAGCAACCCUCCUCUUGGAGAAGGUGCUACGUUCUACUCAAUUUUGAGAUAGAUAACAU